GUCAGAGAGCCCUGGGAGUAUCCAAGUGGCCCGGGGUCAGACAGCAGUCCUGCCCUGCACUUUCACUACCAGCGCUGCCCUCAUUAACCUCAAUGUCAUUUGGAUGGUCACUCCUCUCUCCAAUGCCAACCAACCUGAACAGGUCAUCCUGUAUCAGGGUGGACAGAUGUUUGACGGUGCCCCCCGGUUCCAUGGUAGGGUAGGAUUUACAGGCACCAUGCCAGCUACCAAUGUCUCUAUCUUCAUUAAUAACACUCAGUUAUCAGAUACUGGCACCUACCAGUGCCUGGUCAACAACCUUCCAGACAUAGGGGGCAGGAACAUUGGGGUCACCGGUCUUACGGUGUUAGUUCCCCCUUCUGCUCCACACUGCCAAAUCCAAGGAUCCCAGGAUAUUGGCAGUGAUGUCAUCCUGCUCUGUAGCUCAGAGGAAGGCAUUCCUCGACCAACUUACCUGUGGGAGAAGUUAGACAAUACCCUCAAACUACCUCCAACAGCUACUCAGGGUAUGUACAGUGCUGCUUUACCCAUUUUAUUAGUUAUCAUGGACAAUUCUAAUAUUCAAAAAGUAAUUAACUUUAAUUGGUUUUGAAAAAUAACACCCUAUAACUGCUGAAAAAGCUUUCUGGAUCAUUUUGUGUUUUCAAAUUUAAAGUGAAUAAAACAUUUUCUCUCUCUUCUCUA
rnacentral:sRNA from 1 species